GUCCACAUUGCGGCGGACCAGAGCCAGAAUCCUCCCAGGAUGAUGGCCGCAGCCGGCCACCACCUUGUCGUCAUGACAAUGAGGCCGGCUGC
rnacentral:sRNA from 1 species